rnacentral:rRNA from 1 species
AUUCCAGCUCCAAUAGCAUAUAUUAACGUUGUUGCAGUUGAAAAGCUCGUAGUUGAACUUUUGGUAGGAGCGACCUGGCCUUGGGCGCAUGCCCUUGUUUGCUGUGUGUCGUAUCUGGCCAUCCUUUUCUUCUUCGGAAGGAAUCAUUUACUGUGAGUAAACUGGAGUGCUCAAAUCAAGACGUUUGUUUGGUACAUUAAAGCAUGGAAUAAUAAGAUAGGACCUGGUUACUAUUUUGUUGGUUUGCAUAGCUAGGUAAUGAUUAACAGGGACAGUUGGGGGUAUUCGUAUUUAAUUGUCAGAGGUGAAAUUCUUGGAUUUAUGAAAGACGAACGACUGCGAAAGCAUUUACCAAGGAUGUUUUCAUCA